UACGUAGGGGGCAAGCGUUGUCCGGAUUUAUUGGGCGUAAAGAGCGUGUAGGCGGCCAGGUAGGUCUGCUGUGAAAACUCGAGGCUUAACCUCGAGCUGUCGGCGGAAACCAUCUGGCUAGAGUCCGGAAGAGGAGAAUGGAAUUCCCGGUGUAGCGGUGAAAUGCGUAGAGAUCGGAAAGAACACCAACGGCGAAAGCACUCUGCUGGGCCGACACUGACACUGAGAGACGAAAGCUAGGGGAGCGAAUGGG
rnacentral:rRNA from 1 species